CUGGUGUGAACACCAGGACAGGGGAACCAGCCUGCCUGCGACUCACCAUGAGGCCGGCUGGUGGUCAAGUCUACUGAGGCUGUGGCUGGAG
rnacentral:lncRNA from 1 species